AUGUACAGUAGGAUGCUUCGGGGCCUCUGGCAGGGAAGACAUAAAGAACUCGAUGUUCUUGGUCAAUGCACGCCCAUUUCGCCUGUUGGUGCUGAAUCCGAAUCCGUGUGUCUGCUUUGAAUGGAGAGAGGGAGCGUGGUGUCACGAGAGCAGAGAGAUUCCUGCACGGGGCUUCUCCUCAUCUUGGGCCUCAUCUCGCAGACAGUGGGAACGCUGGAAGGUCCACUUGCAAUUGGACUCUGACGAUCUCCCAGGAGCAAGCGCUGUGUGCCUUUGCCUUCAGAUAGCGGAAGAACCCUCGGAAGUAGGUGCGGAUGGCCAGGGCAAAAGGCAGUGGACAGGACUGGCCCUGCUCUCUUGGCCUCUUCAGCACUUGCAGCUCACGCCACAGGCUAGAUAG
rnacentral:lncRNA from 1 species